rnacentral:misc_RNA from 1 species
GGAAGGAUCAUUAACACUUUGUUAUAACCAAUAUCAAACCAAAUGUGAACUGUAGCGUCCCUAUUCAUUGUUGUGUAAAUUGAUUUCGGUCAGCUUAUAGAACAAUGCGAUAGACAAUACCCUCUCAGUAGUUGUCACCCAACUCUUCGGAGUUGUGUGAUGAUGAAGAUAUUAACCUUUUAAACCCUAAAACAUAUAACCUGUCUAAUCUUCAUAGAACUUAUGGACCGCCUCGGUGGUUAAUAAGAUUUACGAAAUUUUGAACAACUCUUAGCAAUGGAUAUCUUGGGUCACGAAACGAUGAAGAACGCAGCGAACCGCGAUAUUUAAUGCGAUAUGCAGAAUUCAGUGAAUCAUCAAGUUUUUGAACGCAAAUUGCGCUCUCGGGUAUGCCUGGGAGCACGCCUCUUUGAGUAUCGGUUCUAUCAAAACUCAACAGCUUAUGUGCUUGCACAUAAACGUAGUUGGAUACUGAGUGUUUCCUUGUCUUCGGAUAGCGAAUCACUUGAAACGAUAGAAAAACUAGGCUUGAGAACUCUUUCAGCACCGUAGUCAGCGUUCGCGUUGAUUACUAGUUUACACCUUGUCGGCUUCAAUAUGGAAACGCUGAUAACGUAGAUAAUUGCCUUUGUGCAUAUUCAACGUAAUCAGUUAGUACAUCUUGAUAGCUUGUGUAAGCGAAAAGGCUGGAAUUGAUGUUCCGUCUACUCACCAAAAGAAUCUGGUCAAACAGGUUUCUUUUGGCACGUUUGAUUUCGGUCAAAUGUGUAUGAACUCCGAAUUAGAUCUCAGAUGAAGCGAGACUACCCCCUGAAUUUAAGCAUAUUAAUAAGGGGAGGAAAAGAAAAUAACAAUGAUUCCCCUAGUAACGGCGAGUGAAGCGGGAAGAGCUCAAAUUGAAAAUCGGCUACCCAAGCGGGUCGUCGAAUUGUAGCCUAGAGACACGUUGUCAGGUUUAACCCAGGUAAAAGUCUUUUGGAACAAGGCAUCACAGAGGGUGAGAAUCCCGUCUAUGAUCUGGAGUUUGAGCCGUACGACGCGUGUUCAUCGAGUCGAGUUGUUUGGGAUUGCAGCUCUAAAUGGCGGGUGUAUCUCCGCUAAAGCUAAAUAUUGUCGUGAUACCGAUAGCGAACAAGUACCGUGAGGGAAAGAUGAAAAGAACUUUGAAAAGAGAGUUAAAAAGUACUUGAAAUUGUUAAGAGGGAAGCGCUGAAAACCAGUCUCUAUGCGACUAUUUUGGUAUUGAUCAUGGGUCUGUUGUGUUGAUAGUGGUAAAACCUAUUAGUGUAACAGAUUUUAUGGUUGGUGCUUUCAGUUGUCGCAUUCGAGUCAGAAUCAAUUCGGUUCGUGUGAGAAGGCUAUGGGGAAGGUAGGGCAGCAAUGCCUGUUUAGAUCUGUAGCUCUAACAUGGACUGGAUUGAGGAAGUAAUGACAUGCCUGCUGGCUUCAUUUAGUGGUCUCUGCUGGGUGAGUGAGGUUAGGAUAGUAAUACUAUACGAUCUCAUUUGUUCGGUACUAGGUUAUUAAAUGCUAUGUGUCAUCACGAUUCUGACGAAAUGGUUUUCAUCGACCCGUCUUGAAACACGGACCAAGGAGUCUAACAUCUAUGCGAGUAUUUGGGUGGAAAACCCUGAUGCGCAAUGAAAGUAAAGGAAGUUUCGGCUUCUGAGGUAGGAAACCCGCAAGGGUGGCACUAUCGACCGAUCAUCACUUGUGAAAGAUUUGAGUAAGAGCAUAGCUGUUGGGACCCGAAAGAUGGUGAUCUAUGCGUGACCAGGGUGAAGCCAGGAGAAAUUCUGGUGGAGGCUCGUAGCGAUUCUGACGUGCAAAUCGAUCGUCUGAGUAUACGUAUAGGGGCGAAAGACUAAUCGAACCAUCUAGUAGCUGGUUCCCUC